rnacentral:rRNA from 1 species
AUUGAACGCUGGCGGCAGGCCUAACACAUGCAAGUCGAACGGGGUGGCGGACGGGAGAGUAAUGUAUGGGAAACUGCCUGAUGGAUGGGGAUAACUACCGGAAACGGUAGCUAAUACCGCAUACCAGCGCAUGGGCCCUGAUGGGAUUAGCUAGUUGGUGGGGUAAAGGCAUACCAAGGCGACGAUCCGUACCUGGUCUGAGAGGAUGAUCAGUCACACUGGAACUGAGACACGGUCCAGACUCCUACGGGAGGCAGCAGUGGGGAAUAUUGGACAAUGGGCGAAAGCCUGAUCCAGCCAUGCCGCGUGUGUGAAGAAGGUCUUCGGAUUGUAAAGCACUUUAAGUUGGGAGGCGUUACCAACAGAAUAAGCACCGGCUAACUUCGUGCCAGCCGCCGCGGUAAUAC